rnacentral:rRNA from 1 species
AGAACGAACGCUGGCGGCAUGCCUAAUACAUGCAAGUCGAACGAACACUUCGGUGUUAGUGGCGCACGGGUGCGUAACGCGUGGGAAUCUGCCCUUGGGUUCGGAAUAACAGUUGGAAACGACUGCUAAUACCGGAUGAUAUCGAAAGAUCAAAGAUUUAUCGCCCAGGGAUGAGCCCGCGUAGGAUUAGCUAGUUGGUGAGGUAAGGCUCACCAAGGCGACGAUCCUUAGCUGGUCUGAGAGGAUGAUCACGCCACACGUGGGACUGAGACACCGGCCAG